AGAGUCGAUCAGACAGUCGCUGUCUCUUUUUGUUCCGGCAAAAAGGGAGGGAGGAAAGUCCGGGCUCCAUAGGGCGAAGUGCCAGGUAACGCCUGGGAGGCGUGAGCCUACGGAAAGUGCCACAGAAAAUAACCGCCUAAGCGCUUCGGCGCCGGUAAGGGUGAAAAGGUGCGGUAAGAGCGCACCGCGCGGCUGGCAACAGUCCGUGGCUAGGUAAACCCCACUUGGAGCAAGACCAAAUAGGGAUCCAUUGGCGUGGCCCGCGCUGGAUCCGGGUAGGUUGCUAGAGGCAGUCAGCGAUGGCUGUCGUAGAGGAAUGACUGUCCUCGACAGAACCCGGCUUACAGAUCGACUCUCCGA
rnacentral:RNase_P_RNA from 4 species